rfam:TPA: Bos taurus chromosome 18, whole genome shotgun sequence.
AGGGGUAUGACUCAGUGGCAGAGUAUGCUUAGCAAGCAUGAGACCCUGGGUUCAAUCCCCUAUACCCCCA